rnacentral:rRNA from 1 species
UGUAGCAAUACACAGUCGAGCGGCGAACGGGUGAGUAACACGUGGAUUAUCUGCCCUAAGGUGGGGGAUAACCCGGGGAAACUCGGGCUAAUACCGCAUAAUACCGAGAGGUCAAAGGGGGCUCGCAAGGGCUCUCGCCAAUGGAGGAGUCCGCGUCCGAUUAGCUAGUUGGUAGGGUAAUGGCCUACCAAGGCGACGAUCGGUAGCCGGCCUGAGAGGGUGAUCGGCCACACUGGAACUGAGACACGGUCCAGACUCCUACGGGAGGCAGCAGUGGGGAAUUUUGCGCAAUGGGCUAACGCCUGACGCAGCAACGCCGCGUGGAGGAUGAAGGUCUUUGGAUUGUAAACUCCUGUCAGCAGGGAAAAAGCGAUAGGUGCUCAUACCACCUAAAGUUGAUUGUACCUGCAGAGGAAGCCCCGGCUAACUCUGUGCCAGCAGCCGCGGUAAUACAGAGGGGGCAAGCGUUAUUCGGAAUUAUUGGGCGUAAAGGGCGCGUAGGCGGCCUGGCAAGUGAAAGGUGAAAUCCCUCGGCUUAACCGAGGAACUGCCUUUCAGACUGCUUGGCUUGAGACCGGGAGAGGUGAGUGGAAUUCCCAGUGUAGCGGUGAAAUGCGUAGAUAUUGGGAGGAACACCAGUGGCGAAGGCGGCUCACUGGACCGGUACUGACGCUGAGGCGCGAAAGCGUGGGGAGCAAACGGGAUUAGAUACCCCGGUAGUCCACGCCGUAAACGAUGAGUGCUUGGUGUAGCGGGUAUCGACCCCUGCUGUGCCGAAGUCAACACAUUAAGCACUCCGCCUGGGGAGUACGGUCGCAAGGCUG